rnacentral:rRNA from 1 species
CCCCUAGACGUUCUGGGCUGCACGCGCGCUACAAUAAUACGCACAGCAAGUAUCACCGAGCUCGAAAGGGCAAGGUAAACAAUAGAAAAGGUACUGUAAUGGUUAUAGAUCCUUGUAAUUAUUGAUCUUCAACGAGGAAUUCCUAGUAAGUAUGUGUCAUCAUCACGCACUGAUUACGUCCCUGCCCUUUGUACACACCGCCCGUCGCUCCUACCGAUUGGGUGAGCCGAUGAAACUCUCGGAUGUAGGCUAUUCAUAGCCCGCAGAAGAGAUUUGAAUCGUAGCGCUUAGAGGAAGGAGAAGUCGUAACA